rnacentral:lncRNA from 1 species
AAAACGGCAGCGUUAGGGGUUUCAGAGAUGGCUAGCAUUGUUGUUGCCAUUGUUGGGGGCAAUGGAGAUGGGAAGGAUGGCGGCGAAUUUGGCUGGUUCAGUGACGGGGUUGGUUGUUCUCCGAAGAGCAAUGAGAAGGAGGGAGCCAGCGGCAGCACUGGGUUGGUUCACCUCUAUUAAUGGUGGUGGUGGGGUAGUG